rnacentral:tRNA from 1 species
GGGGUUGUGGCUCAGAGGUAGAGCACUCACCUAGCAUGCGUGAGGCCCCAGGUUCAAUCCUCAGCACCA